CCAAUAGCGUAUAUUAAAGUUGUUGCAGUUAAAAAGCUCGUAGUUGAAUUUCGGGGUUCUACCGUUGGUCGGGCUUUGUCUGUACUGGCGUGUAGAAUUUCUACCUUCUGGGGAACUAUCAUGUUAUUAAUUUAGCGUGGUAGGAAACCAGGACCUUUACCUUGAAAAAAUUAGAGUGUUCAAAGCAGGCUUAUGUCUGAAUACAUUAGCAUGGAAUAAUAAAAUAGGACGGUGGUCCUGUUUUGUUGGUUUCUGAAUCACCGUAAUGAUUAAUAGGGAUAGUUGGGGGCAUUAGUAUCCAAUUGUCAGAGGUGAAAUUCUUGGAUUUAUUGAAGACUAACUACUGCGAAAGCAUUUGCCAAGGAUGUUUUCAUUAAUCAAGAACGAAAGUUAGGGGAUCGAAGACGAUCAGAUACCGUCGUAGUCUUAACCAUAAACUAUGCCGACUAGGGAUCGGACGAUGUUAACUUUUCUUGACUCGUUCGGCGCCUUACG
rnacentral:rRNA from 1 species